rnacentral:rRNA from 1 species
AUACGUAGGGUGCGAGCGUUGUCCGGAAUUACUGGGCGUAAAGAGCUCGUAGGUGGUUUGUCGCGUCGUCUGUGAAAUUCCGGGGCUUAACUCCGGGCGUGCGGGCGAUCCGGGCAUAACUUGAGUACUGUAGGGGAGACUGGAAUUCCUGGUGUAGCGGUGAAAUGCGCAGAUAUCAGGAGGAACACCGGUGGCGAAGGCGGGUCUCUGGGCAGUAACUGACGCUGAGGAGCGAAAGCAUGGGUAGCGAACAGGAUUAGAUACCCUGGUAGUCCAUGCCGUAAACGGUGGGCGCUAGGUGUAGGGGUCUUCCACGACUUCUGUGCCGUAGCUAACGCAUUAAGCGCCCCGCCUGGGGAGUACGGCCGCAAGGCUAAAACUUAAAGGAAUUGACGGGG